rnacentral:misc_RNA from 1 species
GAUGAAGAACGCAGCGAAAUGCGAUAAGUAAUGUGAAUUGCAGAAUUCAGUGAAUCAUCGAAUCUUUGAACGCACAUUGCGCCCCCUGGUAUUCCGGGGGGCAUGCCUGUUCGAGCGUCAUUUCAACCCUCAAGCUCUGCUUGGUAUUGGGCGUCGCCGGGGAGUCUCCCCGGCGUGCCUCAAAGCCAUCGGCGGUGGUGCCUUUCUCUAAGCGUGGUAGAAUUUUUAUUCGCUUCUGAGUUGGGCUUCGCCUGCCGGACAAACCGGGCCCUCGCGGCCUACCUUCUCAGGUUGACCUCGGAUCAGGUAGGGAUACCCGCUGAACUUAAGCAUAUCAAUAAGCGGAGGA